rnacentral:rRNA from 1 species
GACCCUGGCUCAGGACGAACGCUGGCGGCGCGCCUAACACAUGCAAGUCGAACGAGCGAGAGAGAGCUUGCUUUCUCAAGCGAGUGGCGAACGGGUGAGUAACGCGUGAGGAACCUGCCUCAAAGAGAGGGACAACAGUUGGAAACGACUGCUAAUACCGCAUAAGCCCACGGCUCGGCAUCGAGCAGAGGGAAAAGGAGCAAUCCGCUUUGAGAUGGCCUCGCGUCCGAUUAG